rnacentral:rRNA from 1 species
GACGAACGCUGGUGGCGUGCUUAACACAUGCAAGUCGAACGGAGUAUUCAGCAAUGGAUACUUAGUGGCGAACGGGUGAGUAACGCGUAGGCAAUCUGCCUUCUAGAUGGGGACAACACCGCGAAAGUGGUGCUAAUACCGAAUGUGAUAUAAAGAAUGCAUAUUCUUUAUAAGAAAGGUGGCCUCUAUAUAUAAGCUACCGCUAGAAGAUGAGCCUGCGUCUGAUUAGCUAGUUGGUGUGGUAAUGGCUCACCAAGGCGACGAUCAGUAGCCGGUCUGAGAGGAUGAACGGCCACACUGGGACUGAGACACGGCCCAGACUCCGACGGGAGGCAGCAGUGGGGAAUCUUCCGCAAUGGACGAAAGUCUGACGGAGUAACGCCGCGUGAGUGAAGAAGGUUUUCGGAUUGUAAAGCUCUGUCUUCAGGGGCGAACGUAUGGUAGGUAAAUAAUCUACUGUAAUGAUGGUACCUGAGGAGGAAGCCACGGCUAACUACGUGCCAGCAGCCGCCGUAAGAC